UACGAAGGGGGCUAGCGUUGUUCGGAAUUACUGGGCGUAAAGCGCGCGUAGGCGGAUAAAUAAGUUAGGGGUGAAAUCCCAGGGCUCAACCCUGGAACUGCCUUUAAUACUGUUUAUCUAGAGUAUGGAAGAGGUAAGUGGAAUUCCGAGUGUAGAGGUGGAAUUCGUAGAUAUUCGGAGGAACAUCAGUGGCGAAGGCGGCUUACUGGUCCAUUACUGACGCUGAGGUGCGAAAGCGUGGGGAGCAAACAGG
rnacentral:rRNA from 1 species